rnacentral:rRNA from 1 species
CGCGCGAUACAGGGUGACAGCCCCGUACACAAAAGCGCAUGUGCUGUGAGCUCGAUGAGUAGGGCGGGACACGUGGUAUCCUGUCUGAAUAUGGGGGGACCAUCCUCCAAGGCUAAAUACUCCUGACUGACCGAUAGUGAACCAGUACCGUGAGGGAAAGGCGAAAAGAACCCCGGCGAGGGGAGUGAAAAAGAACCUGAAACCGUGUACGUACAAGCAGUGGGAGCACCCUUUGGGGUGUGACUGCGUACCUUUUGUAUAAUGGGUCAGCGACUUAUAUUCUGUAGCAAGGUUAACCGAAUAGGGGAGCCGGAGGGAAACCGAGUCUUAAUUGGGCGUUAAGUUGCAGGGUAUAGACCCGAAACCCGGUGAUCUAGCCAUGGGCAGGUUGAAGGUUGGGUAACACUAACUGGAGGACCGAACCGACUAAUGUUGAAAAAUUAGCGGAUGACCUGUGGCUGGGGGUGAAAGGCCAAUCAAACCGGGAGAUAGCUGGUUCUCCCCGAAAGCUAUUUAGGUAGCGCCUCGUGAAUUCAUCUCCGGGGGUAG